rnacentral:rRNA from 2 species
UACUGCAGUCGAGCGAAUGGAUUAAGAGCUUGCUCUUAUGAAGUUAGCGGCGGACGGGUGAGUAACACGUGGGUAACCUGCCCAUAAGACUGGGAUAACUCCGGGAAACCGGGGCUAAUACCGGAUAACAUUUUGAACUGCAUGGUUCGAAAUUGAAAGGCGGCUUCGGCUGUCACUUAUGGAUGGACCCGCGUCGCAUUAGCUAGUUGGUGAGGUAACGGCUCACCAAGGCAACGAUGCGUAGCCGACCUGAGAGGGUGAUCGGCCACACUGGGACUGAGACACGGCCCAGACUCCUACGGGAGGCAGCAGUAGGGAAUCUUCCGCAAUGGACGAAAGUCUGACGGAGCAACGCCGCGUGAGUGAUGAAGGCUUUCGGGUCGUAAAACUCUGUUGUUAGGGAAGAACAAGUGCUAGUUGAAUAAGCUGGCACCUUGACGGUACCUAACCAGAAAGCCACGGCUAACUACGUGCCAGCAGCCGCGGUAAUACGUAGGUGGCAAGCGUUAUCCGGAAUUAUUGGGCGUAAAGCGCGCGCAGGUGGUUUCUUAAGUCUGAUGUGAAAGCCCACGGCUCAACCGUGGAGGGUCAUUGGAAACUGGGAGACUUGAGUGCAGAAGAGGAAAGUGGAAUUCCAUGUGUAGCGGUGAAAUGCGUAGAGAUAUGGAGGAACACCAGUGGCGAAGGCGACUUUCUGGUCUGUAACUGACACUGAGGCGCGAAAGCGUGGGGAGCAAACAGGAUUAGAUACCCUGGUAGUCCACGCCGUANACGAUGAGUGCUAAGUGUUAGAGGGUUUCCGCCCUUUAGUGCUGAAGUUAACGCAUUAAGCACUCCGCCUGGGGAGUACGGCCGCAAGGCUGAAACUCAAAGGAAUUGACGGGGGCCCGCACAACCGGUGGAGCAUGUGGUUUAAUUCGAAGCAACGCGAAGAACCUUACCAGGUCUUGACAUCCUCUGAAACCCUAAAGAUAGGGCUUCUCCUUCCGGAUCAGAAUGACAGGUGGUGCAUGGUUGUCGCCCGCUCGUGUCUUGAGAUGUGGGUUAAGUCCGUCACCCACGCAACCUUGAUCUCAGUGCCAUAUUUAGCUCGGUCAACUGAGGGUACUGCCGGUGACCAUCCGGAGAAAGCGG